UUCCGGUCCCCUCGCAAUGAACAGCUGUGAACCCCGCCAGGCCCGGAAGGGAGCAACGGUAGCAGUGGUGUCAUGUGCCGAGGGUGUUGCUGGUUGGG
rfam:Microbulbifer donghaiensis strain CGMCC 1.7063 genome assembly, contig: Ga0070181_105